rnacentral:tRNA from 1 species
GUGGGCGUAGCUCAGCUGGUGGUAGCUUCGGAUUGUGGCUCCGACGGUCGUGGGUUCAAGUCCCAUCGCUCACC